CCUACGGGAGGCAGCAGUGGGGAAUUUUGGACAAUGGGGGCAACCCUGAUCCAGCAAUGCCGCGUGAGUGAAGAAGGCCUUCGGGUUGUAAAGCUCUUUUGUCAGGGAAGAAACAGCAGCUCUAACACAGACUGCGAAUGACGGUACCUGAAGAAUAAGCACCGGCUAACUACGUGCCAGCAGCCGCGGUAAUACGUAGGGUGCGAGCGUUAAUCGGAAUUACUGGGCGUAAAGCGUGCGCAGGCGGUUAUACAAGACAGGCGUGAAAUCCCCGGGCUUAACCUGGGAAUGGCGUCUGUGACUGUAUAGCUAGAGUGUGUCAGAGGGGGGUGGAAUUCCACGUGUAGCAGUGAAAUGCGUAGAUAUGUGGAGGAACACCAAUGGCGAAGGCAGCCCCCUGGGAUAACACUGACGCUCAUGCACGAAAGCGUGGGGAGCAAACAGGAUUAGAUACCCUGGUAGUCCACGCCCUAAACGAUGCUGACUAGUUGUUGGGAAUUUACAUUCUCAGUAACGUAGCUAACGCGUGAAGUCAGCGCCGNGGAGGUACGGUCGCGAGAGUAAACGUACGAAGAAGUUAGAGNGNGAGAGNGCGAGGACGACGACGAGGGAGGAGG
rnacentral:rRNA from 1 species